rnacentral:rRNA from 1 species
AGUGAACGCUGGCGGUAGGCCUAACACAUGCAAGUCGAACGGCAGCACAGUAAGAGCUUGCUCUUACGGGUGGCGAGUGGCGGACGGGUGAGGAAUACAUCGGAAUCUACUUUUUCGUGGGGGAUAACGUAGGGAAACUUACGCUAAUACCGCAUACGACCUACGGGUGAAAGCAGGGGAUCUUCGGACCUUGCGCGAUUGAAUGAGCCGAUGUCGGAUUAGCUAGUUGGCGGGGUAAAGGCCCACCAAGGCGACGAUCCGUAGCUGGUCUGAGAGGAUGAUCAGCCACACUGGAACUGAGACACGGUCCAGACUCCUACGGGAGGCAGCAGUGGGGAAUCUUGCACAAUGGGCGCAAGCCUGAUCCAGCCAUGCCGCGUGGGUGAAGAAGGCCUUCGGGUUGUAAAGCCCUUUUGUUGGGAAAGAAAAGCAGCAGGUUAAUACCCCGCUGUUCUGACGGUACCCAAAGAAUAAGCACCGGCUAACUUCGUG